rnacentral:rRNA from 1 species
UACAGAGGGGGCAAGCGUUGUUCGGAAUUACUGGGCGUAAAGGGCGCGUAGGCGGCCUUCUAAGUCGAACGUGAAAUCCCUGGGCUCAACCCAGGAACUGCGUCCGAUACUUGGAAGGCUUGAAUCCGGGAGAGGGAUGCAGAAUUCCAGGUGGUAGCGGUGAAAUGCGUAGAUAUACUGGAGGAAUACCGGUGGCGAAGGCGGCAUCCUGGACCGGCAUUGACCGCUGAGGAGCGAAAGCUAGGGGAGCAA